CCAGAUUCUAUCGUCUGGGAAGUGACAUACUGCUCAGUCAACACGUGAGCGUAUCAUACCCUUAGGACAGAAAUAACCCUGAGAAGCUGGAGAUAUAUUCGAUAGAUGUGAUGUCUCGGAAUGGUAUCACGCCCAAAGGUGAUAACAGCAUGUUGUUAUCAUGCCUCAAGGAUGAGUCUGCGGCCGAUCAGGCUGUUGGUGAGGUAACGGCUCACCAAACCUUUGACCGGUACGGGCCAUGAGAGUGGUAGCCCAGAGAUGGGCUCUGAGACAAGAGUCCAGGCCCUACGGGGCGCAGCAGGCGCGAAACCUCCUCAAUGCAGUAAAGUGCGAAGGGGUUACCUCGAGUGCUAUCUGAAGAAGGUGGCUUUUACUUUGUCUAACCAGCUAUGUGAAUAAGAGGGGGGCAAGACUGGUGUCAGCCGCCGCGGUAACACCAGCCCCUCGAGUGGUGGGGAUGAUUAUUUGGCCUAAAGCGUCCGUAGCCGGCCAUGUAGGUCUCCCGUUAAAUCCAGCGUCUUAAGCGUUGGAAUUCGGGAGAUACUGUAUGGCUAGAGGGUGGGAGAGGUCAGCGGUAUUCUGGGGGUAGGGGCGAAAUCCUUUGAUCCCCGGAGGACCACCAGUGGCGAAGGCUUCUGACUAGAACACGCCUGACGGUCAGGGACGAAAGCUGGGGUAGCGAACCGGAUUAGAUACCCGGGUAGUCCCAGCCGUAAACGAUGCAUGCUAGGUGUUGGGUCGCCCAUGAGCCGCUCCAGUGCCGCAGGGAAGCCGUUAAGCAUGCCGCCUGGGGAGUACGGCCGCAAGGAUGAAACUUAAAGGAAUUGGCGGGGGAGCACAGCCAGGGGUGGAGCGUGCGGUUUAAUUGGAUUCAACGCCGGA
rnacentral:rRNA from 1 species